rnacentral:tRNA from 1 species
GCAUUGGUGAUUCAGUGGUAGAAUUCUCACCUUCCAUGAGAAAGACAAGGGUUCGAUUCCUGGCCCAUGCA